UACGUAGGGUGCGAGCGUUGUCCGGAAUUAUUGGGCGUAAAGAGCGCGCAGGCGGCUUGGCAAGUCGGGUGUGAAAUCCCGGGGCUCAACCCCGGGACUGCAUUCGAUACUGUCAGGCUAGAGGUAGGUAGGGGAGAUCGGAAUUCCUGGUGUAGCGGUGAAAUGCGCAGAUAUCAGGAGGAACACCGGUGGCGAAGGCGGAUCUCUGGGCCUUACCUGACGCUCAGGCGCGAAAGCUAGGGGAGCGAACAGG
rnacentral:rRNA from 1 species